rnacentral:rRNA from 1 species
CUUUACUGUAGCUUUACAUUGGACUUUGAACAGAUCUGUGUAGGAUAGGUGGGAGGCUUUGAAGUGCGGACGCUAGUUCGCAUGGAGCCAACGUUGAAAUACCACCCUGGUGUGUUUGAGGUUCUAACCUUGGCCCAUGAAUCUGGGUUGGGGACAGUGUAUGGUGGGCAGUUUGACUGGGGCGGUCUCCUCCCAAAGUGUAACGGAGGAGUUCGAAGGUACGCUAGGUACGGUCGGAAAUCGUGCUGAUAGUGCAUAGGCAUAAGCGUGCUUGACUGCGAGACUGACAAGUCGAGCAGGUAGGAAACUAGGACUAAGUGAUCCGGUGGUUCUGUAUGGAAGGGCCAUCGCUCAACGGAUAAAAGGUA